CCUUGUUUUUUAUCAGUGCUGAGAAGAAAUUAUAAAAUAGCCUUGUUUAGACUAAUUUUAUCACAGUUUCAGAGUGACGUUGUUUGAUGCUGGCAUUCCACAGAUUGUAUAUGUCCAACAAGAGAACAGUGUGGUCCAGCUGUGAGUGCCACACCAGCUUCAAACAACAGAAAGCUGUCUAUAUUUAUAGGUGUUGGGCAUCACAGGGGAAACGAGACUGAUAAGGUCCCUGGUUUCUUGGAGCUGCUCUUCUGGUGGUGAUUCUAGAUACUGACACCUACAAUGAAGAAAUUAAUGCAGGCAGAUGGGACAGGGAUCGCUGGUGGAGAGGCUACUUCCUAAAAUGUGGGCUGGAAAAGCCUUUCUAGGUGAUGACAUUUGAACCAAGACUUGAAUGCUGAGAAGGAACUGGAGAAGGUCUUAAGGCAUUCCAUGUGGGAGAAAGAAAAGUGUAAAUUCCAGAGAACAGGAUGUCUGUGUGGCCGGGGCACUGGAGCACAGUGAGAUGGGGAGAGUCACGGGACCAGAUGGAGGCUUGGCUGGUCGUGGUGAGAAAACUGAGGAACAAAAAGGUUAAGUGACUGGCUAAAGAUCACCCAGAUGGGAAGCACUAGAAUAGAGACUCACACUCAGGCAUCUGAUUCUAGAGAAGCUUGAUCUUCUUCCAGUGUGUCCUAGGAUCCAGU